CCUACGGGGGGCAGCAGUGAGGAAUAUUGGUCAAUGGGCUUACGCCUGAACCAGCCAAGUCGCGUGAGGGAAGACUGCCCUAUGGGUUGUAAACCUCUUUUGUCGGGGAGCAAAAAGGCCUCGUGAGGCCACAAGUGAGAGUACCCGAAGAAAAAGCAUCGGCUAACUCCGUGCCAGCAGCCGCGGUAAUACGGAGGAUGCGAGCGUUAUCCGGAUUUAUUGGGUUUAAAGGGUGCGUAGGCGGACUGGAAAGUCAGCGGUAAAAUCGAGAGGCUCAACCCCUGUCCGCCGUUGAAACUGUCGGUCUUGAGUGGGCGAGAAGUAUGCGGAAUGCGCGGUGUAGCGGUGAAAUGCAUAGAUAUCGCGCAGAACUCCGAUUGCGAAGGCAGCAUGCCGGCGCCCGACUGACGCUGAGGCACGAAAGCGUGGGUAUCGAACAGGAUUAGAUACCCUGGUAGUC
rnacentral:rRNA from 1 species